UAAGAAAUUAUAAAUGGAUAUUAAAAAUUAUUAACAAACCAGAUGGGUGGUGUUGCAUAAGUCAAAUACAGAUAAUCAAAAACAUCGUCUCUUCACAGCUCACCUACGGCGAUUCUCAAGACUGAGUUAAAUCCUUACGUUUCUCUUGCCUCUGUCUUCUUCUUCUUGUUCUAUAUCCGAUUUUUGCAUCCUAAUCCUGUGAUUGAUAUUGUUUUGGUGGCAAAUUCGAUGGAUUCGAUUAAGGACACGCUAGGGAAAUUGGGGAAGUUGGCUGCCGACACUACCAAGAAGGCCGAGGAUUACAUAAAUGAUCAGAUGAAUUGGGAAUUGGGAAUUAUUUUGAAAGCAAUACACAAAAUCAAAGUAUUUUGCCACGCUGGUCAAAAAGUGAUUUUGCCACGGAUAAUCUUAUCGUUCAUACUGGUGCAUUAUCUUCUCUAUCUCAAUUAAAGUAUACUUUUGAAGAUCAGGCUCUUCUAGGUGUAGCCUUUGAAAGCUGAAAAUCUUGGGUUGUAUGUAAGGCAUGUCUUCACCAAGUGAUUUCCAACAGCGUUUCCAUAAUUUUAGCGGACUGCCCACUUCGCAAUAUAUCAAUUAUCAAAUAAAUAGUUGUACCUUCUGGUCUAUGAGCAGCAGUUCAAACCCCAUAAGUAACCCCAUAAGUCAAGGAGGGAAGUAAUGGACCUGAAGGAGGAGAAGUUGCAGGUGCCAUUGUAAUUCAAUGAGCUUGAAGAGGACGACGUGCUUGACGAUUGAAGAAGUUUUGGUAGAGCUAUUGUUUUCAAUUAUAUUGAGGUUGAUUCAUUCUCUGUUUUAGAUGCCUAUUUAUACAAAUACACCUAAUUUAGAAUUUGUAAGCUUUCCUAUUUAUUUUUUUUGCUGCUAAGUAGAAUUUUUCCCUUUUUGUUUUAAGCUAAAAGGAGUUUUUGUAAAUUUGGAAAUUUUUAUUUGAAUGAUUUAGCAUGUAUGCACGAUUUAACAUUUAUAUGUUUGUUCCUAAAUU